rnacentral:rRNA from 1 species
CCUACGGGAGGCAGCAGUGAGGAAUAUUGGUCAAUGGGCUUACGCCUGAACCAGCCAAGUCGCGUGAGGGAAGACUGCCCUAUGGGUUGUAAACCUCUUUUGUCAGGGAGCAACGCCGGCUACGUGUAGCCGGACUGAGAGUACCUGAAGAAAAAGCAUCGGUUAACUCCGUGCCAGCAGCCGCGGUAAUACGGAGGAUGCGAGCGUUAUCCGGUUUUAUGGGGUUUAAAGGGUGCGUAGGCGGAAUGCCAAGUCAGCGGUAAAAUAGCGGGGCUCAACCUCGCUCCGCCGUUGAAACUGGCGUUCUUGAGUGGGCGAGAAGUAUGCGGAAUGCGUGGUGUAGCGGUGAAAUGCAUAGAUAUCACGCAGAACUCCGAUUGCGAAGGCAGCAUACCGGCGCCCAACUGACGCUGAAGCACGAAAGCGUGGGUAUCGAACAGGAUUAGAUACCCGAGUAGUC